rnacentral:misc_RNA from 1 species
CUGUCCUUUUCGCUAAGCAUCGCUCGGCGGUGCGAGGCGGACUUUGAAGUAGUCCCCGUGGUCCACGCUCUCGCCACACAAGCUGUGGUGCGGUCGUGGCACAUGGGUUCCUACUCGUACUCUUGGAUGCGGAAGCUCGUGAGGGCACGGGGCCUCGGUCCCUAUUCUGCCCAAACAAAGCGUUCGUCGCUCGACACGUACGACAGCCGCGCCCGCGUUGACCUUCCCGACUCUGUUGGCUGGGCUCAUGCGGUGCCGGCGUCGAACAGGAUGCUACCUGGUUGAUCCUGCCAGUAGUCAUAUGC